rnacentral:rRNA from 1 species
AUGCCGCCGCCACUUUCACUGCUCCACGCGCGCAAGCUCCACGCGACGCUCCUCAAGUCCGGUCACCAUGGCGACGCCUACCGCUGCAACCUCCUCCUCCGCGCCUACACCCGCGGCGGCGCACUUGCCGACGCCCGCGACCUACUGGACCUCAUGCCGUCCCCGACUCUCGUCUCCUACAACACUGUCCUCUCGGGCUACGCCUCCUCCUCGACCCCCGGCCUCCUCGACGCCGCCCUGCACCUGCUAGACGCGAUGCCCGAAAGGGACUCCUGGUCCUGGAACACCGCGAUAUCCGGCCUUGCACGCGCCGGCCGGGCUCACGACGCGCUGCGGAGGUUCCUGCAGAUGACGCGCACCCCCGUGGCGCCGGACGCGUUCACCUACUCCAUCGUCUCGCCGUGCUGCGGCGUUGACAUGGGAUCCGCGCGUCAGGUCCACUCGCGGGCUCUCAAGGCCGGGGUGUUCGCGGACGCCUGCGUCGGCACUGGUUUCAUCAAGCUGUACGCAGAGCUGGGCCUGAUGGAGGAUGCACGCAAGGUGUUCGAUUGUAUGCCGCUGAGGGAUCUGAUGUCAUGGAAUGUGCUCCUGGACUGCGGUGUGAGGUCCGGGGAAGCAGGAUCGUGUAUGAAGGAGUUUCUUAGCAUGACCGGCUGCGGGGUUCGGCCUGAUGAGUUCACCUUUGCCACUGUCUUGAAUGGUUUGGCUGAGCGGUCUGCAGGUCUGGAGGCAAUGCAGGUACACUCAGUUAUUCUGAAAUCUGGGUAUCUUAGGGAUCUUUUUCUAUGCAAUUCUUUGCUGGACGUGUACGGGAGAUGCGGUUACGUUGACUUGGCCAAGAAACUGUUCGAUGCUAUGCUUGAGAAGGAUGUUGUGUCGUGGACCACUGUGAUUUCAGGGCUUGCAGCCUGCGGUUACCAGGCUGAUGCCUUUGACAUAUUUUGCCAGAUGCUGAAAGCUGCAAUGCCGCCCAAUUCCUUCACCUUUGGGAGCAUAGUAAGCUCAUGUGCAUAUGUGAAUGACCUUGGCAGUGGGAGGCAGUGUCAUGCUCUUGCUGUCAAGCAUGGGUUAGAACUCGUUCCUAUAGCUGCCAGCUGUUUUGUCGAUAUGUACUCAAAGUGCGCCAAGAUGGAUGAUGCAAUAAGAAUGUUUGAGAUCAUGCCACAGAGAGACAUUGUAGCUUGGAAUGCAAUGAUAUGCGGAUUAGCUCAGAAUGGUCAAUCAGUGAGAUCUCUUGAGCUGUAUGAUGAAAUGAUGCGACUUCAUCAUGAAUCGGUCACCCCAAACUCAGUAACUUUUGUGGGUGUCCUGAGCGCAUGCAGCCAUGCUGGUGAUGUCCAGAAAGGUUGCAACUACUUCACUCAAAUGGUUAAUGACUUCCACAUCGAACCAAUUUCAGAGCACUACACUUGCCUUAUCGAUCUCUUUGCGCGAGCUGGGUGGUUAGAUGAAGCAGAAGAGAUCAUUUCGAACUUACCUUUCAAACAUGAUGCUGUUAUCCUGGGCACCAUGCUUAAUGGCUGCAGAAAAUAUGGUAAUCUUGACAUGGCUAAGCGCUUUGCUAAGAGGCUUCUAGUGAAUAAUCCAGAUAAUGCAUCGGGCAUUUUUCUACUCUCAAAUAUGUACAUUGCAAAUGAAGAAUGGAAUAAUGCCUCGGAGCUGAGGGAUGCUGCGAUAUCAAGUGGAACUCAUAAAGUCAUGGGGAAUAGCUGGAUUGAUGUUGGUGGUCAAGUACAAUGUUUCAAAGCGGGCUCUAGUCCAGAUGCACAAUUCGAACAGAUAUAUGAUGUUCUGCAACAACUUCAGUUGAUGAUGGUAGAUGCUGACAAGCUGGUCACACGGAUUAACUCCUUAUGUACUUAUAUUAACAGUGAGUAG